rnacentral:siRNA from 1 species
AUAGUUGGAGGAGUGGUUCCUA